AUCUUCUUCAUCCAUUCAUCUAUUGAUGAACACAUAGGUUGCUUCUACAUUUGGCAAUUGUAAAUAAGGCUGCUAUGAACAUUGGGCUGCAUGUAUCUUUUCUAAUUAUUAUUUUUGGGUUUUUUUCAGAUGUAUAUCCAAGUGUGGGGUUUUCUGGUUUUUUUUGAGAAACCUCCAUACUGUUUUCCACAGUGCUUUGCCUUUGUUUUGGAAAGAUAUUAUCACUAAGCCUAUACCUUUAUGUUGACAUGUAUUUUUCUCUCUACAUGUUGAAGAUAUUCCACUGUUUUUUUUUUUUCCUGUUGUUAAUUUUGAGAAGUAAAUUCUCAAUCAAGUGUAUUUUUGUAGAUAAUUUUAUCCACCCCUCUUGUUUUCAGGAUGUUAUUUUUGACUUUGGUGUUGUGCAAUUUGCAAGUGUUAGGUUUGUUUAUUCACACUAUUCCAUAUAAAUAUUAUAAAACAGCAAUCAUACUAGAAAUAGUAUAAAACUGAGGAAAUUCUUAGCUGUUAAUUCUUUCAGUAUUGCCUCUGCCCAAUUUUCUCUUCUCCUACUGGAUAUCCAAUAAUAUACGUAUGUGACAUUCUCACUCUCUUAUCCAUACAACUUAUUUUUUCAUAUUUUCCAUCUCUUUGUGUCUCUGGGUUUUGUUCUGGAUAAUUUUUCAGAUCUGCUUUCAAAUUCAUUAAUUCUCUCUCAGCUGUAUAUAAAAACUCUUAGCAGAUGAGUUUUUCAUUCCAAAGCACUAUAUAUAAUUUCUGGAAGUUCUAUUUUAGUUAUUUUUCAAAUGUUUGGUCUUUUUUUUUUUUGUCUACUCCUCAUUUUACUCAUAUUUUCAAACUUGCUAGGUUUUAUAUACAUACUAAACAUAAUUAUUUUCUAUUCUGUGCUUGACAAUUAUAAUACCUGAAAACUUGGCAGGUCUGAUUUAACAGUCCUUUCUGAAUGCUGUGUUCUUGGUGCUCUCCGUUUUGGGGUUUUAUUUUCUUUCUGUCUCAUGAGGGGAAUGUAAUUUCCGGUUCUCCCUACACUGAGCAUAUAGGCCAUGCAGAGGCCUCCUUUUGUGGGCUCUCAUAUUAGUGACUUUGGGUGGUCUCUGGCUGUCUUUGCCUCCUGCCCUGUAUGUGUCAGAAGAUCAUGAAAGCAGAUGCUCAAGUUCAUUCUGAUGGCAAAUGCCCUCAAAGCCAAGCUUGUCUUCAGUGUGUGACAUACCCUUUGGGUUCCUGUUUUCACUGAGUUUUGGCCUUUCAGUCUUAAAAUAAUUUUAGUAUUUUUUUUUAAAUUUUUAGUUGUUUUCAGCAAGAGAGUCAAUCAAGGUAUUUGGUCCACUAUACUGCAUAUAUUUUAAAUGACUUUAUUAAUUUCAUAUAUUAUUGCAUUAAAUGAUACUCAAAAAUACUUAAAGUGAAAAGCUAGAAAAUCAUUGACUUACUCUAAUAUAUAUGCCCAUUGUCACCUAGGAAGAAAUAUAAAAAAAUAAUAGCAGCAAUACAGGGGUAUCACUCCCUUCUGACCCCUGUCCUAGUGCUUUUUUGUGACUAAGGUGCUGGCAGAGGGGAGGUCGAUGGGAUUUAAUGCCCCUGCUUAGUGGAGUCUGUACAUAAUUUUUCUUGGGCACAUAAAUUUCUAUCCCUGUGCAGUCUUUAUUCUCUUCAAACACUCAGACCCAGCUUUCAUUCCAGGUGCAUUCUUAAGACAAACCCUAAGUCUGAGAGAUUCACCAAAAAUCAGUGACACACCCAGACACUUCGAUUCUACCAAUUAUAAUAUUUGGUUGAACUCCUUUUUUUUAAAUCAUAAUAUCUCCAGAGCAUUGAGUAACAGAAAUAAUAAUUAAAUAAUAAUUAAAUAAUAACAAUUAAAUAAUGAUUAAAAUUUUCCCAUGCAGUAUUGUCUUUACGAAUGCAUGUUAUCCGUUGCAUGGCUGCAGCAUCGUUUGACAAGUGUUUCGUUUCUAGUGCACUCAUGUUACCUCUAACUCUUUGCUCUUACAAAUUGAGCCACCAUGAACGCUCCUCCAGAUCAUCUUGACUUAAUAUCUUUAAUCAUUUGCCUAUAAAAGUUCCCAGAAGUUAAGUUGUGAGGUCAGAGGGCGUGCAAAUUUACAAGGCUUCAGAUACACCACCCCACUGUCCUGCUGAAGAGUUACGAUUUGCUGUCUACCAGUGCCCCAAGGUGGAGGGAUGCAAGUAGGCUUUUUUAAAGGUGACAUAUUCAGAGCUGAUCCCAUGGUAUAUUUCAAAUAAAAAAUAUUACCAGAUUUUAUACCUGGCUCCUUCCCUAGUCUAAAAAUUGAUAAAAGUUCUAUUCCAUCACUCUGUCUUAUGCCUACUUAAAGAUCUUACAAAAUAUAGGCAUCCCUUCCUUUUCUCUUACUGGCAAACAUUUAAUAUCAGAGCAUUAAUGCAGUUUUUCAAAUUAUUGACACAUUUUUGCUCUGACAAAACCCCACCCGUCGCAAGGGGACUAGUAGCCUGUGCUGUUUUUAUAAUUAAUCAGCACUAAUAGCAUUGCCACAACAAAUGAACAGAUGAUUUUCCUAUCGGUAUCUCCUUGAAUUUUUCUGCUUGUCCACAGACCCCUUGUGUGGUGAUGGUGCACGGAGUCCCCUGUAACUAAUGUGAAUUAGUAAGGGUAUGGCUUUUUUGACACUAAUUCUGCUUGGAUUUGGUCACGUGGGAAUCCAGUGAUCCGAUUUCUAGCUGGUAACAUUAAAACACUGAUCUUAUAGAGUAAACAAGCGGCUGGCUUCCCAGCAUGGUUUCAAAUUUGUUUUCAUUUAACAGGACACAGGAUUUUUGUUCUUUAGACCUCUUGCUAUUCCUGCUUUUGACAUGAUGCUGUGCAAAAUGGCAUUUCUAUAUAAAGAGCUUUUGGCCAGGGGGCAGCAUACCAGCAAGUACAUAUUUGAAAUGGCUAUUUUUCUCUCACCAUGAAUGGAAAGAUAUUUUAAGCACAUGUAACUCCUUCCCAAGUUAACAUCUGUCAGUUGCACCGUGUAUAACUUUAUCAGCUGGGAAUUGAAACCCAUUCAUAACACUCCUGUUUGCAAACUUCUGUCAUCAAGGCUGUUCAGGUUAUAAGUUCUAUUGCAAAGAGAAGCAAGGGCUUGAAUACUAAAGAGAGGUUGAAAUUUAAGUUAACUUUUGAAAAUUGCCAAGGAGUGGCAAUUGCCUGAAAGCCCCUUUUCUGAGUGAAAGUUGGGAAAUUUGGAUGUAGGGGGCUGGGUUUGAAUUAUUACUGACUUUUUUUUUUUUCUUUUGUCUUUUAAGGACUGCAUCUGCGGCAUAUGGAAGUUCCCAAGCUAGGGGUUGAAUUGGAGCUAUAGCUGCCGGCCCACACACACCACAGCCACAGAAACUCCAGAUCUGAGCCACAUCUUUGAUCUACACCAUAGCUCACAGCAAUGCCGGAUCCUUAACCCACUGAGCGAGGUCAUGGAUCAAACCCACAUCCUCAUGGAUACUAGUUGGGUUCAUUAUCGCUGAGCCAUGAUGGGAACUCCCUGACCUUAUUAAAGCUGAACUCUUCUCAGACACUGAUGGAGUUUUCUGGUUGUUCAUGUUGAUCUUUUGGCUGCAGCGAAGGUCUUUCACAGAGCUUUUAUGUUGAUUUUCCUUGUGGAUUUGAGCCUAACAGUAUGAAGAAUAUUGAAUCUAUACAGGGUCAACCCCAUAAAAACUGAUUCAGAGAAAGGGGGCAGAUAAUUAUUCUUAAUUUGGUAUGAAAUUGCACACAGAAUCAUAAAUAUAAAUGUGACCUGUGAAAAUGAAGCAAAGAGAGAAUUUAUAUGCUGGGAAUGAGAUUUUAACCAAAAUGCUUCUGCAUAUUUUUUAGUUUCUCUUAACAUGUCAUUUGUCUAAUGAUAUGUUUUUAUUGUAGAAUUAUAGCCUAUACACUUUUUGUUGUUCUUGUCCUUUGGAAGCAAUUAAAUAGUUAUUUUCAGUCCAAGGCUAUAGAAUAGAUUUAAGUAAUGCUUAAGAAUUAGAGCAAUGCAUAAAAUCGCCUGGGUGAUUUGUUUAAAGUGCAGCUUUGUAGAGUUGCCAUUGUGGCUCAGCAGGUUAAGAACCUGACAUAGUGUUCAUGAGGAUUCGGGUUCGAUCCCUGGCCUCACUCAGUGGGUUAAGGAUCUGGUGUUGCCACAAGCUGUGGCAUAGUUUGCAGAUGCGGCUCAGAUCAGGUGUUGCCACGGCUAUGGUGUAGGCCUGCAGCUGCAGCUCCGAUUCCACCCCUAGCCCAGGAACUUCCAUAUGCUGCAGGUAUGACUGUGAAAAGAAAACAAUUUAAAAAAAUUUUUAAAUACAGCUUUUUGUGUUGCCGUCUCCCAUAAUUCUAAUUUGCUAUAUACCAUGAAUGGAGCCUAUGAAUCCACUUUUUUAACCAGCAUCCUAAGAGAUUCUGAUUUUGCUGAUCUCCAGAAUAACACUAUUAAAAAUUCAAUUUU
rnacentral:lncRNA from 1 species